rnacentral:rRNA from 1 species
UACGUAGGUGGCAAGCGUUGUCCGGAUUUAUUGGGUUUAAAGGGUGCGUAGGCGGUCUUAUAAGUCAGUGCUGAAAUAUCCCGGCUUAACCGGGAGGGUGGCAUUGAUACUGUAGGACUUGAGUAAAGUUGAGGUAGGCGGAAUUGACGGUGUAGCGGUGAAAUGCUUAGAUAUCGUCAAGAACACCGAUAGUGUAGACAGCUUACUAAGCUUUAACUGACGCUGAGGCACGAAAGUGUGGGGAUCAAACAAG